CUCUGGGAGAUGCCAGCACAGCAGCUGGAGCCCCCCACGGCGUGCCCACCCAGACAAGGGGAUCACCCUGGCACAGGCUCCACACCCUGGGCAGUUCUGAGACCCCCAGGGCCUGGCACCCACCUGGUGCUUGGGAGACCCCGGCAGCUGUGCUGGCACUGUGUCCCCAGGAGGGGACAGCAUGUGCUGUGCCACGUGUGAUCACACCGCCCACAGUGCAAAGGGCAGYUCAGCCCUGCCCAGGUGGCCCAGACUUUGCCGCAGGGCAGUGACACUCCUGCCUGCACAACUGUCCCGGCAGGACCCACCACGGGAUGCRCCACGUCACUGUCACCGGCCAGCCCUGCUGCUCAGAGGGGACCACGUGCCGUGGAGUCAUCCCUCAGCCCUGCUGGGAGCUCUCCUGGCAGGGAUAAGCAAUAGCUAAGGUCAAGAAUGCAAAAGUCCUUUGUGAGCAUCUAAAUUCCCACUCUGGGUUCCAUGCCACAAGACCUCCUUCACCUCACAGUUUGCUGUUCCCAUGUGCCACUGGCCUCUGGAGGGGCUGUAAGAUGGAGUGUGCUUUGAACAUCUGCUGAAAUGCAGGAAUGAGGAGYUGACUGCCAUGGCACUACAAACCCUGGCUAUGGCUCUCUCCUGCCCUUUGUAAAGGGACUCCACCGAGCAUUUGUUUAGUAUUUGCUGGCUCUGAAUGUUUGAAUACACUGCUAAAGCUGUUUGGAAGCAAGGCUGGAAAAGGUGACAGGCUGGGACUGAAAUAGCUGGGAUUGAUCUAGACCUCCACUGGAGAUAUUUGAAUAUCAAAGUGUUGCAGGCACUGCACUCCCACCACUGGCUGAGGGCUGCCUCCAGCCCUAAAUUUGAAGCAUAGGGAUGGGAUGUGAAGUGCUGACCAGCUCUUCCACAGUUGGUGAAAAGACAUCGAGAACUGCAGGUGGCAGAACACAGAAAAACCCAACAGCCAGAGAGUGAAAGCAACGUCCCCCUGGGGGAAGCUGAUAACCAGGGGGGUGGAUGCUGGAGCCACAGGCCAACUCCCCAGUGCCAGCUCUCCCCUGCCCCAAGCCUCCUGCAGCAGCCACUUCCCUCCCUUUGCAGCUCUGGGGACACAGAGUGCUGUCAGCAGCCUUUGGACUUUACCCAUUUCAACACCCCCAUCAGAUGGCAAGAAAAGCUCUUCUGUGGCUGACCACAUUUGUCUUCUCCAGCAUAAGGUGGCUCUGCACUGGCGUCCCAGCACUGAGCCAAGGUGCUGCUGAAGGUUGUGCCUGGAACACCUGGCAGCCAGGCUAGGAUAAGGUGGGUCCCUUCUCCAGGAAGCUGUUUUCCAUCYGUUCCCAAGCACUGACUGUAGGAAAGAGUGUGUGCUGUCACGCAGAGGGUUUGUGGUUCUGAAACAAGGCCAGCAGAUGCUGCAGCUGCCCGCUGUACCCUGUCUGGGCAUCCCUGCAGGAGCAAUCAUUUAAUCUCAUCUUUCUAGGUAAAGGUAAAAUUUAAGUGAAACCACAUGAAAUGAGAAACUGAAAUCCAAAUGUUUUCCAAAGUGCCACUGCCAUCUCAAUUAGUUUUCUUCCUCUUACUUAAAGUUUUGCCUUCUAGGUUUUGAGCCACUAAAAUGGGAGCUCAGAGCCAGCAGUGCCCCCCAAGGGGCUGUCACAGGUGGUCCUGGCUCCAUCCGUGCUUUUGGGAGCCAUGGCAGAUUUCAGGGCUCUUCCAGGCAGGAUUGGGGCUGCUGGCUGGAGAUCUGAGCAGUGGCUCUCUGCACACCAGGUCAUGCAGUCCCAGCCGGUGUCACCGUGUCCCUGCCUGCCAAAAGCUGCCCGGCGCCAGCCCACGUUAAUUAACCCUAAUGAGGCUCUAUGGACAGAACGCUCUGGUGACUGCACCUGUGGGAAUCUGCCGUUGGAUCAGCUGGGAAUUUGCCGUUGGAUCAGCCGGUCACUGUGACCGCGCUCAUCUCAGGGCAUCUCCCGGAUUUCAGGGAGUGUGGGAGUGGGAAUCAGCGCCCAUGCAGGAGGAUGACCACAUUUGGGACAGCCCAUGUGUCACAGACAGUUUGCUGAGUAAUGAAAGAGCAAUUACCAGCUCAGCUGGAGGCAGAGUCGCUCCUGUUUGGUUUUCCAAGGAAAAUUAUUCCAACCUCUAUUUUGUGCACAGCUUUCCUUUUGCUGUGAAUUGCAGAAGAAAUAAAAGAAAUUGAGGACUUUUUUACAAGUUUUAUGCUGGUUUGCURAAUUCCC